GCUGCUUGUGUCCAUUGUUGAUCAAUUGAAACUGAGUUAGAUCUUCUCUUUGUCAAAGAAAUCCACUCAGGAAAAUAAUCCUGAUGAAUUCUAGGAAUCUGGUCUUAUUGGGUAAGUGUGGCAUUCUUGUGUGCUUAGCAUCCAUCCAAUUUUUGGAAUGUGUUUCAUUUCCUUAGUCAUUAAAAAUUAUGGAACUUCUGGUGUCUCUUUUGCAUAGGAACUUGAAGUUCAAUUUUCAUAUAUUCCUAAUCCCUUUGGGACACAGAAAUAAGGUUCUUUUGCUCUUGUUUAUAGAUGAAAGUUCUGCAUUCUGUAAAAAAAUGAAAUUGGGACUUGUCCAACCUUUGAUGUAAUAUGUAGUUCCUCCUUCUAAGAUCCUGAAAAAUAAGGAUUUGGGGAUUUCAAGGAUGGGUCUUUGUCCCCAGCACAGAAACCCAAGUCCUUUUUCUUUUCAUAUGAACAGGAUAUUUAAUUUCCAAUCCAGAUGUGUUAUCCCAGUUGGAACAAAGAAGAAAGUUUUGAAUAGUAAAAAGACAAAUCCCAAGAGGUACUUGUCCAAAAAUAAGUGUUUAAUUGCAGCAAGAGAAAUAUUCCUCCACCAUCCCGGUUGUA